AAAUAUUUCUGGACCAACAUGAGUUUCCUGAAACUUGGGAAACUGACCGAGGAAAUGGAGGUGACUUUGAGCAGCAGAUCAGCGGCAAGGUGAGGGGUUCGAGCUGUGGGCUUGGAGCUGAAUCCCUGGUUGGCUUGGUCUCCAGGUACAGAGCAUGGCAGGAUGGAGUGCAACACAAUCCUGGAUUUUACAUCUCAGACUUCUGGAGGUGCACACACACUUACACAGCUCAUGGAGAACUAUUGUGUACUAUUCAGAGUCUGUUAUUUUUAAUAUUACUCCCAAUGUGCCCUUCAGGAGACAUUGAGGGUAACAUAUAGAUUACCCUCCAGUGUUUCCUAUAGAUUACCUACAGCAUCUCUUAUGAUUCUUCUUGUUUACCACAAUCAAUAUUUGAGUCAGUGUGCCUGCCCGCUGUGCUCCACUCCAGCUUUCCAGUCUGCAGGCCAUGCCGUUCAAUUCUGGGUCUUUCAGUCCGCCAGCCGUCACAGGUUACCUCACAUUACAACAGGAUCUGGACCAGAUGGGCCAAUGA